AACGAACGCUGGCGGCAGGCUUAACACAUGCAAGUCGAGCGCCCUCUUCGGAGGGAGCGGCGGACGGGUGAGUAACGCGUGGGAACGUGCCCUUUUCUACGGAAUAGCCCAGGGAAACUUGGAUUAAUACCGUAUACGCCCUUAGGGGGAAAGAUUUAUCGGAGAAGGAUCGGCCCGCGUUAGAUUAGGUAGUUGGUGGGGUAAUGGCCUACCAAGCCGACGAUCUAUAGCUGGUUUGAGAGAAUGAUCAGCCACACUGGGACUGAGACACGGCCCAG
rnacentral:rRNA from 1 species